GAAAUGCGAUAAGUAGUGUGAAUUGCAGAAUUUAGCGAAUCAUCGAAUCUUUGAACGCACAUUGCGCCCCUUGGUAUUCCAUGGGGCAUGCCUGUUCGAGCGUCAUUUCAACCCUCAAGCACUGCUUGGUGUUGGGCGUUUGUCCCGCCUACGCGCGUGGACUCGCCUCAAAGUCAUUGGCAGCCGGCGUACUGGUCCCGGAGCGCAGCACAUGUCGCGCAAACGAGUGCCUUGGUACGGCGGCGUCCAUAAGCCCCUCUCUCACGCUCUUGACCUCGGAUCAGGUAGGGAUACCCGCUGAACUUAAGC
rnacentral:misc_RNA from 1 species